AUGUGCUGGAAUUGUAUAAAGUAUUCUAGAAUAUUUACAUGUUCACAUGUGCUAGAGUUGCCUAGAACCUUCCGGAAUUGGGCCAAGCUAGCACUCUUGGCCUUGUGUUGGCUCUCUAGCCCGAAAUUGUGGGCAAUUGGGCUAGCGAAUUGGGCGGUCCGCAACAUCCUCCCCCACUUAAGCUCGCGGCAUCCUCGUCGUGCUCUCGUGCUUGAAGUGCUGGAUGUGCUCAGCGAAUUGCCACAAAUCAUCUUCCCGUUCCCAAGUGGCUUCGCUCUCGGGGAGGUUUUUCCACUUCACCAAGUACUCGCUAUGUGCUGGCACGCCCCUCCUCGAAACCGUUCGGUCCGCAAUGAUGUAGUCCACAUCUUUGUCAAAUGCGGUGACAACGGCAGUUGGCGCGCGCCUCGAUUCUCCGCGACUUGGUUCUCCCAUGUCUUCAUGAUAUGGCUUGAGAAGGCUCACAUGGAAGACCGGAUGGAUCUUGAGUCUUGGCGGAAGUUGGAGUUGAUACGAGACGUUGCCUACACGUCGAACAACUCGGAAGGGUCCCUCGUAGCGCCUCACUAACCCCUUGUGAACUUUCCGCAAAGUCUUGAAUUGUUGGGGUAGGAGCUUGAUCAUGACUUGAUCACCUUCCUUGUACUCAACAUGCCGUCUCCUUGUAUCAGCCCAUUUCUUCAUUUUCCUCGCGGCUUUGUCGAGAUAGGCUCGCGUGAUGUCCGCUUCCUCAUGCCAUUCGCGGGCGAGCUUGUGUGCCGCGGGGCUUUUCCCUCCGUAAGUCGAGGCUAUGGCAUUGGGGGUCAUGGGCUGGAAUCCCAUGAUGAUCUCGAACGGACUCUUGCCUGUAGCCUCGCUUCGCUGCAAGUUAUAAGAAAAUUGGGCAAUGUCAAGUAGCUUUGCCCAAUCCCGCUGGUGAGCGCUCACAUAAUGCCUCAAGUACAUCUCGAGAAGGCCAUUGAUGCGCUCGGUCUGUCCAUCCGUUUGUGGGUGGAAGCUUGUCGAGAACUUAAGAUUGGUCCCCAACAUCUUGAAGAGCUCCGUCCAAAAACGCCCAGUGAACCGAGCAAACUCUAGAAUAUUAUACAAUUUCCUAGCUAUUUACAUGUGCUGGAAUUGUAUUAGGUAUUCUAGAAUAUUUACAUGUUCACAUGUGCUAGAGUUGCCUAGAACCUUCCGGAAUUGGGCCAAGCUAGCACUCUUGGCCUUGUGUUGGCUCUCUAGCCCGAAAUUGUGGGCAAUUGGGCUAGCGAAUUGGGCGGUCCGCAACAUCCUCCCCCACCUAAGCUCGCGGCGUCCUCGUCGCGCUCUCGUGCUUGAAGCGCUGGAUGUGCUCAGCGAAUUGCCACAAA
rnacentral:lncRNA from 1 species